UGAGAGGAAGGUCCCCCACAUUGGAACUGAGACACGGUCCAAACUCCUACGGGAGGCAGCAGUGAGGAAUAUUGGUCAAUGGACGAGAGUCUGAACCAGCCAAGUAGCGUGAAGGAUGACUGCCCUAUGGGUUGUAAACUUCUUUUAUAUGGGAAUAAAAUGUUCCACGUGUGGGAUUUUGUAUGUACCAUAUGAAUAAGGAUCGGCUAACUCCGUGCCAGCAGCCGCGGUAAUACGGAGGAUCCGAGCGUUAUCCGGAUUUAUUGGGUUUAAAGGGAGCGUAGGUGGAUUGUUAAGUCAGUUGUGAAAGUUUGCGGCUCAACCGUAAAAUUGCAGUUGAAACUGGCAGUCUUGAGUACAGUAGAGGUGGGCGGAAUUCGUGGUGUAGCGGUGAAAUGCUUAGAUAUCACGAAGAACUCCGAUUGCGAAGGCAGCUCACUGGACUGCAACUGACACUGAGGCUCGAAAGUGUGGGUAUCAAACAGGAUUAGAUACCCUGGUAGUCCACACAGUAAACGAUGAAUACUCGCUGUUUGCGAUAUAC
rnacentral:rRNA from 1 species